rnacentral:rRNA from 1 species
GACGAACGCUGGCGGCGUGCUUAACACAUGCAAGUCGAACGGAAAGGCCCUGCUUGCAGGGUGCUCGAGUGGCGAACGGGUGAGUAACACGUGGGUGAUCUGCCCCUUACUUUGGGAUAAGCCUGGGAAACUGGGUCUAAUACUGGAUAGGACCAUGCUGUAGGUGGUGUGGUGGAAAGAUUAGUUUCGGUAAGGGAUGAGCUCGCGGCCUAUCAGCUUGUUGGUGGGGUAAUGGCCUACCAAGGCGUCGACGGGUAGCCGGCCUGAGAGGGUGGACGGCCACAUGGGGACUGAGAUACGGCCCAGACUCCUACGGGAGGCAGCAGUGGGGAAUAGUGCACAAUGGGCGCAAGCCUGAGGCAGCGACGCCGCGUGGGGGAUGACGGCCUUCGGGUUGUAAACUCCUUUCAGCCAUGACGAAGCCCUUGUGGUGACGGUAGUGGUAGAAGAAGCACCGGCUAACUACGUG